rnacentral:rRNA from 1 species
UGAGGAAUAUUGGUCAAUGGACGAAAGCCUGAUGGAGCAACGCCGCGUGGGUGAAGAAGGUCUUCGGAUCGUAAAACCCUGUUGUUAGAGAAGAAAGUGCGUGAGAGUAACUGUUCACGUUUCGACGGUAUCUAACCAGAAAGCCACGGCUAACUACGUGCCAACAGCCGCGGUAAUACGUAGGUGGCAAGCGUUAUCCGGAUUUAUUGGGCGUAAAGGGAACGCAGGCGGUCUUUUAAGUCUGAUGUGAAAGCCUUCGGCUUAACCGGAGUAGUGCAUUGGAAACUGGGAGACUUGAGUGCAGAAGAGGAGAGUGGAACUCCAUGUGUAGCGGUGAAAUGCGUAGAUAUAUGGAAGAACACCAGUGGCGAAAGCGGCUCUCUGGUCUGUAACUGACGCUGAGGUUCGAAAGCGUGGGUAGCAAACAGG